rnacentral:rRNA from 1 species
CCCUUAGAUGUUCUGGGCCGCACGCGCGCUACACUGAUGCAUUCAACGAGUUUCUUCCUGGUCCGAGAGGAAUGGGUAACCUUUUGAAAGUGCAUCGUGAUAGGGAUAGACUAUUGCAAUUAUUGGUCUUCAACGAGGAAUUCCUAGUAGACGUAGUUCAUCAGACUGCAUCGAUUACGUCCCUGCCCUUUGUAGACACCGCCCGUCGCUCCUACCGAUUGAAUGCUCAGGUGAGCCAUUCGGACUUUCAUCAUGCUGGUUUCCAGUUUUGAUGAAGGAAAGUCUUGCGAACCUUAUCAUUUAGAGGAAGGAGAAGUCGUAACA